AGUGAACGCUGGCGGUAGGCCUAACACAUGCAAGUCGAACGACAGCACAGUAAGCGCUUGCUCUUACGGGUGGCGAGUGGCGGACGGGUGAGGAAUACAUAGGAAUCUACUUUUUCGUGGGGGACAACGUAGGGACACUUACGCUAAUACCGCAUAUGACCUACGGGUGGAAGCAGGGGAUCUUCGGACCUUGCGCGUUUGAAUGAGCUGAUGUCGGAUUAGCUAGUUGGCGAGGUAAAGGCCCACCAAGGCAACGAUCCGUAGCUGAUCUGAGAGGAUGAUCAGCCACACUGGAACUGAGACACGGUCCAGACUCCUACGGGAGGCAGCAGUAGGGAAUAUUGGGCAAUGGGCGAAAGCCUGAUCGAGCCAUACCGCGUGAGUGAAGAAGGUCUUCGGGUUGUAAAGCCCUUUUGUUGGGAAAGAAAAGCAGCGGAUUAAUACCCCGCUGUUUUGACGGUACCCAAAGAAUAAGCACCGGCUAACUUCGUG
rnacentral:rRNA from 1 species